UAACUUAAUGAUGGGAUAUCUGUCCUCGAGGUCGGAUAUCUAAGAUCAUCGAGAGCAUAGAUUUUAGGCUGAAAUUUGAGGAUAAAAAUAUCUUUCAGACUGAAAUUAAUAUUUAUUAUAUUUUAAUAUUAUUUUAAUAUAUAUAAAAAUAUUAUAUUUUUAUUACUAUUAAUAUGAUAUUUAUAUUAAUAUAUUAAUAUAAUAUUAUACUUAAUAUUAUAUUUAUAUUCAUAUU
rnacentral:lncRNA from 1 species